rnacentral:lncRNA from 10 species
CUUUAACUUGUCUGUGUUUCCCAGAGAAUGUGUUCUCAUUAUUUUGUCUGCUGUUUUGUACCUUUGGACAUUCCACCAAUGAUGAAAUUCAGACAGUUCUAUCAGAUUUCGCUUCAAAAAUUUUGGACCUUUGUUACUAGGUACAUAAACAUCUGAGGUGUUUAUUGGAGCUCUUUGCCUAGAACUGAUAAUUGGAUUCAUGGUAUUCUGGAGAACAAGAUCUGGCAAUGAAGAAUGGACUUGGAAGUGGUAGACAAUACAAUUGAUAACUGGAAGAACAGAUAACAGAACAGCAUACAGGUUGACUUUCCUUGGAAUAUGUGAAUCCUUGAGCAAGAACUUCCUUAAAAGGGGGUUUGGGCAGACAGACAUUG